GAUCUCACUAUUCUAUCUUGUGGAAGAAACUACAGACAUUCCCACAUAUGUAAACUUUAAAGGUUUAGGGCAAUUUUAAUUAACGCAGUCAUGAAUUUUUUUGUUUGUUUGUUUAUUUUUUUAAUUACUUUAAAAUGUUCCUUGAAGUUUAAAGAUAGCGUCAAUAAAAGUUUUUUAUAUUAUAUAAAAUAUUAACAUUAACAUUAUAUCAAUAAAUGUUUUUUUUUUUUUUUUUGCCCACACACAAAAACAAAUAUUUACAUAAAGUGGAAAAAAAAAUAUUUUUCAGCUCUCGUUCUGGUCUGUAAUGAUUGUUAGAAAUGUUAGACAGACCCAGAUUAAACAAUGCCUAUAAAUGGAACAGAAAAAGAAAGUGUAUCAUGCUCUCUGUCUUAUUCUUGAAAAGGGUGCAAAUGAAAGAAAUCUUGUUGAUGUUGGUGACAACCUGACUAACAUCGCUGUUUUUCAUUCUUUAUAUAUUGGAGAUAAUGGACUAAUGCACCAUCAACAAAGUGAGAAAAUUUUUUAUCAGACCUGCUUUUUUAUAAUAUAUUUCAGAUUGAAGCAAUUGAAUUGAAUUCAAGAUCACAAGAUUAUUGUUGUUGUGUAAUAUGCUCAAACAUUUGUCCUGUUAUUUUGUAUAAAAAUACAUUUUUAGCAACAAAAACAUUGUUAUUGUCAUAGUUCUUCUUUCAGAAGUAAAAAGUUGUCAAUAAGACAAUUGCGAUAAAAUGUAAAAUGGCUUUGCCAUUACAGAAAAAUAAAAAUAAAAAUGUAGCUUCUAAAACAAAGAGGAAUGAGACUGAACUCCAAGAUCAGACUCACUUCAUUUUGUUAAGGUAAAAAGCCUGUGAUACAAUGUAAGCUAGUUCUGUAUAAAAAAAAAACAAUAAUAAUAAUAAUAAAAAAAACAUACAGACAUGCGUGUACUGUUGAAAUAUUAAAAAUUAUAAUGUGGAAAAAAAAAUAUAAAAAUGUUCUUUGUAGGGGACCUAUCCAUCUUCUGGGUAUCUUGUGUGCCCGAGACCAUAAAACAGAGAAGCAAACAAAACUUCAUCAGGUUUGCCAGUUGUACCCCUCAGAGAUGGCGUUACCACAUGAGUAUUUACAAUUUUUGGAUAAUGAUCUGGUCAAAACAUCUGAUUUCACCUCCUUUCCACUGAGCAUUUUGUUGAUUCUGUUGGAGGCUUUGACUGAUAAAGAUUUUUCAUGCCCGUGCAAUGCUGAGCAAAAUGCAACCUUAAUAAAGCUAAUCUUCAUUGCACCAUGUAUUUUUGUUUUUGGGUUAAUGUGUAUUUUGCAGCUAAAUAAAAAUGGACCUACAAGGUCUCGUAGAAAGAUUGGAAAACAUUUCUUGUUUACCCUGAUUCCACCUUUUGUGUGGAUCAUGCUUGUGCUCCUUGAUGGUGAUUAUAUUGCCUGUCAGAAAACAGACUGGAAUGGAGUGUAUGUUUCAGAUGAUCAGCAACAUGUGAAAUGGUAUCAACCCACUGAACCAGUUCCAGGAAAAAAUGAGACCGAACUACAAGCUCUGACUUUCAGCUUUAUCGCCGAAUCACAGACUUCUGGUUUUGUGAUGCUCCUUGUCUUGGGCAUUAUCUUAAUAGUGGUUGUUUUUUGUGUCUACCGCUGCACUGGUGAAGAGCCACCGCAAACAACAGAAGAUAGAGGAGAUUACAUGGGUACUUUUGCUUGCUAUAGAAGUGAAGCAAACCUGCCACUUCAGUUGGAUUUUGAAUAAAUGGCUGUAUCAUAUGAUUCAUCCUGGGUUUUUAAUAUGUAUUUCUACUGUAUUCAUAUAUAUUUUUCAUUUUUAUUAUUAAUCCUUGAAUAUGCAAGACAGUAAAUCAAUAAUCACACAACCAAGACUGUGAUAUUGCUUUUAUAAACAAUUCAGUAAAACAAGUAUGUACAUAAUUAAGAAAGGGUCGAGGACACUAUUAUAUGUAUGAAAGUUUAAAUGGAUGAUAUGAAAAUUAAACGAUUAUGCAGCAUGAAUUGCAGAUGUAAUACAUAGUUUUUUUUUUUUUUCAAAAUCAGUAAAUACUACACAAUGCCAGUUUAUUUAUUUUUUAAUCAUUUUCUCUAGACACACCUUAAAUUCUUGGCUUUAACUGUUUCCAAUGUUGUUGCAAAUGACAUUCAAGCUGGCAUAUUGAUCCAUUAGCAGGGCUGCAGAUUAUAUGAUAUAGAUAUAAAUGUGUACUGUAUGUGUAAUAACAAAUUAAUUAUCUAGAUGGAUUUACAGCUCUUCUAUGUUUCAUCUUGAUUAUUUGUAUUAAUGUUUUUGUUGUUUUUGAAUUUACCUAUUGGUAAAGAAGAAAUAGAAAUGGCAUAUUUCUGCUUCAAAUAAAUCACUUAAUCCACUUCA
ensembl:lncRNA